AGUGAACGCUGGCGGUAGGCCUAACACAUGCAAGUCGAACGGCAGCACAGUAAGAGCUUGCUCGUACGGGUGGCGAGUGGCGGACGGGUGAGGAAUACAUCGGAAUCUACUUUUUCGUGGGGGAUAACGUAGGGAAACUUACGCUAAUACCGCAUACGACCUACGGGUGAAAGCAGGGGAUCUUCGGACCUUGCGCGAUUGAAUGAGCCGAUGUCGGAUUAGCUAGUUGGCGGGGUAAAGGCCCACCAAGGCGACGAUCCGUAGCUGGUCUGAGAGGAUGAUCAGCCACACUGGAACUGAGACACGGCCCAGACUCCUACGGGAGGCAGCAGUGGGGAAUAUUGGACAAUGGGCGCAAGCCUGAUCCAGCCAUACCGCGUGGGUGAAGAAGGCCUUCGGGUUGUAAAGCCCUUUUGUUGGGAAAGAAAAGCAGCAGGUUAAUACCCCGCUGUUCUGACGGUACCCAAAGAAUAAGCACCGGCUAACUUCGUG
rnacentral:rRNA from 1 species